rnacentral:rRNA from 1 species
AGUAGGGAAUAUUGCGCAAUGGACGAAAGUCUGACGCAGCCACGCCGCGUGGAUGAUGAAGCUUUUCGGAGUGUAAAAUCCUGUCAGUGGGGAAGAACCGGUCGGGGAGUGAGACUGCCCCGGCCCUGACGGUACCCGCAGAGGAAGUUCCGGCUAACUCCGUGCCAGCAGCCGCGGUAAUACGGGGGGAACAAGCGUUGUUCGGAUUCACUGGGCGUAAAGGGCGUGUAGGCGGAUUUGCAAGUCAGAUGUGAAAACCGGCGGCUCAACCACCGGCCUGCAUCUGAUACUGCUAAUCUUGAGUACGGUAGAGGAAAGUGGAAUUCCAGGUGUAGCGGUGACAUGCGUAGAUAUCUGGAAGAACACCGGUGGCGAAGGCGGCUUUCUGGACCGAUACUGACGCUGAGGCGCGAAAGCCAGGGGAGCAAACAGGAUUAGAUACCCUGGUAGUCCUGGCCGUAAACGAUGGGUACUAGGUGU